rnacentral:tRNA from 1 species
GAUGCCAAAAUGGUAACUACACACACCCAAGGACA